AUUGAACGCUGGCGGCAUGCCUUACACAUGCAAGUCGAACGGUAACAGGUCUUCGGAUGCUGACGAGUGGCGAACGGGUGAGUAAUGUAUCGGAACGUGCCCAGUCGUGGGGGAUAACGCAGCGAAAGCUGUGCUAAUACCGCAUACGAUCUAAGGAUGAAAGCGGGGGACCUGCAAGGGCCUCGCGCGAUUGGAGCGGCUGAUAUCAGAUUAGGUAGUUGGUGAGGUAAAGGCUCACCAAGCCUGCGAUCUGUAGCUGGUCUGAGAGGACGACCAGCCACACUGGAACUGAGACACGGUCCAGACUCCUACGGGAGGCAGCAGUGGGGAAUUUUGGACAAUGGGCGCAAGCCUGAUCCAGCAAUGCCGCGUGCAGGAUGAAGGCCUUCGGGUUGUAAACUGCUUUUGUACGGAACGAAAAGGUUCUCUCUAAUACAGGGGGCUCAUGACGGUACCGUAAGAAUAAGCACCGGCUAACUACGUGACAGCAGCCGCGGUAAUAC
rnacentral:rRNA from 1 species